rnacentral:lncRNA from 1 species
CCCCAGCUUGGAGUUUGCAGUCCCGGCCUUUGGGGUCUCCGUGCCAGGGGGUGCGGCGCUGGCAUCUCCGCCGCUCUUGUGUAGUCUGCGUAAUAAGCGGGAUACGAAAAGGACUCGCCGUUUCUUUACCCGCCGCUCUGCUGGCCUGGGCGGCGGCUGCUGGACGGCACGCGAGGGACCUGCGGGGAGGGAAGCGGGCUCCAGGCCCCACCCAGUUUGUGCAGUCUCCCUCGCCCCGGGCCAGAUCCUGCUUUAGGGCCCUGCCCUCCUCCAAGGCUCCUCCCCGCCGCCCCUUGAAGUGUGACCACGUCUCCUUCAGGAUACUGUCCCCAGAGCUGCCCCAGCCAUGCCACCCGGGCACGCUCAGUACCUCCGUCGAGAAAUUUGCGAACACACAGCGAAGUGCCACACAGCUGUGUCCUCGCCACCGACGGUCCGUUUACCUCGGGAUGGACUAUCGCCUCCUCGCAUCUGGAUCGCCCUCCGUUCAUCUCAGAGUCCGCGGCAUUUUGGUAACCCAGAUGCUUAUCGAGCUGUUGCGUGUUCCCUUCACCCCAGAAAGUUCCCUCAAGCUCUUUCUGGUCAACUCCCAGUCCACUCAGAGGCAAGGGUAUCCUGCCUAGUGAUACUGGAGCUAAAGCAAAGGAAAAAAUAUUCUUUAAUGGUUAAUUUUUUCCCAGGACACUUGAUGAGGGGAAAACCCAUUGAAAAGUGAAAAGCAGAUAUAUUAAAACUCAAAAUAUUUUAAGUUUAACUGUUUUAUAUAUACGAAAACCAACUGAUCAUUUUGCUUUCUUUGUUGUAAUCGAAACAAAGUCAUCGAUAUUUCCGAAGUCUACUACUUUUCUUUCUUUCUUUCUUUUUCUUUUUAAGGGCCACACCUGCUGCAUACGGAAAUUCCCAGGCUAGGGGUCCAAUCAGAGCUACAGCUGCAGGCCUACACCACAGCCACAGCAACGCCAGAUCCUCAAGCCACUGAGCAAGGCCAGGGAUUGAACCCACAUUCUCAUGGAUACUUGUCAGGUUCAUUACUGCUGAGCCACAACGGGAACUCCUGCAAAGUCCACUACUUGUCUUGUUUUUAAUGGAGAGAAUUGCCACGUUCAUUUCUUUUGACCAAGUGAUCUUAAAUAAUUUGUCACUAGCUGCAGCUUACUGAAACCUCUUACAGGGUGCCAGAGUGACGAGUAGUGCUAACAAGCGUCUCAAGGCCACUUCCAAAUUGGAUCGGAUUGCACUAAGCAAAUUUUUGUAUCACUCUUAGAAGAUCCAAAUGUGGUGUUAACACUAUGUUAUAAAUUACUGAUAUUGCUGCUUAAAACUGUCAGAGGAAAUUGCUAUAGGACUUAAAUCAGAAUAUUUGAAUCAAAUAAGUGGCUGCUUUGUGUAAAUCAGACUUAUCCAUAGAAAAUAACUUUUCCAGUUACAAAUUCAAAAUCUAAGAAUUUUUUUUUUUUUUUUUUUUUUUUUUUUUGGCUAUUUCUCGGGCCGCUCCCACAGCAUGUGGAGGUUCCCAGGCUAGGGGUUGAAUCGGAGCUGCAGCCACCAGCCUACGCCAGAGCCACAGCAACGCAGGAUCCGAGCCGUGUCUGCGACCUACACCACAGCUCACGGCAACGCCGGAUUGUUAACCCACUGAGCAAGGGCAGGGACCGAACCUGCAACCUCAUGGUUCCUAGUCGGAUUCGUUAACCACUGCGCCACGACGGGAACUCCAAAAUCUAAGAAAUUUUAAUUUUUCAUACCUUAAUUUCAAAUGUGAAAUUAGGAUAUCUAUAAUCUUCUUAGUUUGCAUCUGAUAUGCAUAUAUCCCUAGCCUGGGAACUUCCAUAUGCCGCUGGUGCAUCCCUUAAAAAAAAUUAUAAAUGUCUUUGCGUGUGCAGUGCCUGGACUGCAUUUUAUCUUGAUCCUCAUGGAGUAACCAGAUGAGGUUUUUUUUCCACUUUUUUGUUUUUAGAGCCGCAUAGAUCAAAUUUGUGGAAUUUCCCCAGGCUAGGGGUCGAAUCAGAGCUGCAGCUGCUGGCCUACACCACAGCCACCAUCGCAGGAUCUGAACCACAACUUCAACCUGCACACAGCUCACAGCAAUGCCAGAUCCUUCCCCGACUGAGUGAGGCCAGGCAUUGAACCCGCAUCCUCAUGGAUACAAGUUGGGUUCUUAAGAGGCUGUGCCACAACGGGAACUCCUCAGUUUGGAUAUUUUUAAAGGACAUUUCCAUUGUAGAAAACAUCACAGUGGGAUAUCAAGUUUUCAAAGUCAAGAUUCUGUUUAAAUUUUUUAAAUAUUUGAAACCUCUUAGGGGGGUUGCAAAUAUUGAUUCUGAUGUAUUAUCGUGGGAAAAUAUGCAUGAAAAAUAAAGACGAUUCUUUAGAAUAAACGAGCCA